rnacentral:rRNA from 1 species
GGACUCCGAGUGUGAAGGCAUAGGCUUCCUUUUGUACACCGUAAGGUGGUGUACGAAUAAGGGCUGGGCAAGACCGGUGCCAGCCGCCGCGGUAAUACCGGCAGCCCGAGUGAUGGCCGAUAUUAUUGGGCCUAAAGCGUCCGUAGCUGGCCGGACAAGUCCGUUGGGAAAUCUGUUCGCUUAACGAGCAGGCGUCCAGCGGAAACUGUUCGGCUUGGGACCGGAAGACCUGAGGGGUACGUCCGGGGUAGGAGUGAAAUCCUGUAAUCCUGGACGGACCACCGGUGGCGAAAGCGCCUCAGGAGGACGGAUCCGACAGUGAGGGACGAAAGCUAGGGUCUCGAACCGGAUUAGAUACCCGGGUAGUCCUAGCUGUAAACGAUGCCCGCUAGGUGUGGCGCAGGCUACGAGCCUGCGCUGUGCCGUAGGGAAGCCGAGAAGCGGCCCGCCUGGGAAGUACGUCUGCAAGGAUGAAACUUAAAGGAAUUGGCGGGGAACACUCACUACAACCGGAGGACCCUGCGGUUUAAUUGGACUCAACGCCGGACAUCUCACCAGCUCCGACACUAGUAAUGACGGUCAGGUUGAUGACCUCGGCCUGAAAGGGUCUUGGCGGCAAAAAACCGGGGGGCGGUAAA